GGGGCUCAUCUAUUACCAGUGGAAACCAGUUUAUGACUUUGUUUGUCCUAAGCCAUGUUGCCUUUCAAAUAUUGACAAGCCUUUAGUGCGACAGGACAGAAAGACGAGGAGUAAGACAUGCUGCUCACGGCUGCAGGCUCGAUUCAAACACAGGCCUAAAGGCCGUAAACUUUAGUGUGUUCCCAGGAUGAGCGGGGGAGUUUCUAAAUACGAUCGAGGACACGCUAACCUCCUUUCCUUUCUUGUUUCUGAUUGGACAGCCAAAUUGGACUUUUCUGCUCCUGCACACACUAUUAAACUAUCAUUGAUUCCCAUUAUUGUGUCAUGACCAGCUUCUUGAGAUGUCUUCAUGGACAGUUUGCAGAUCAUCAUGUGUCAGACUGGACACUGUGGACGACUGCUCUGUGGGCUUAGAUCCUGCCUGUGUUCUUACCUAGUGUCAGAAUCCUCGGCUGUGCAGCAGAAGACUGUUUGAUGAAUUCUGAGUGAGAAGUUUACAACAGAGGUGCACAGCUUUGGUCUGCGUACAGAGAGCGUCUGUAUGUGCUGCUGCUGCUCUGAUCGUCCACAUGUCAGCCACAGAGACAAAGUGAAAAAAGUGUGAAAACCUGAAAACUGUAACAGCUGAACUUCCUGCUGAACUCCGCUCCUUUCCCAAUCGAUCAGUAUUAGACAGACACAGUGUGUCAUACACGCCGAGCACAACCCAAACAGACAUGCUUCAUUUUUCUUGCUUAAUAUACAAAACAAAGCCUCCCAGUCUUUGUUUUAUUGCAGCUACAAAGCUUGUCGUUUGUUACUCUGACAUGAAAGUGUUGGCACUACAUGAAUCUGAAGUCGUAACUCUGAUAGACCCUCACCAUCAUGUUGUACUGAAGCACACACAGCACCUCACUCUCUCUCUAAAUCACACGUGCAAAAUAAAAUUAAUCAGCACCA